rnacentral:rRNA from 1 species
UACGUAGGCAGCGAGCGUUGUUCGGAAUUACUGGGCGUAAAGAGUGUGUAGGCGGUGCUCUAAGUUCGGUGUGAAAUCUCCCGGCUCAACCGGGAGGGUGCGCCGAAUACUGAGUGACUAGAGUGCGGGAGAGGAAAGUGGAAUUCCUGGUGUAGCGGUGGAAUGCGUAGAGAUCCGGAAGAACACCAGUGGCGAAGGCGGCCCGCUGGGCAGUGGCUGACGCUGAGGCGCGACAGCGUGGGGGAGCAAACAGG